rnacentral:rRNA from 1 species
ACGGGUGAGUAAUGUCUGGGAAACUGCCUGGUGGAGGGGGAUAACUACUGGAAACGGUAGCUAAUACCGCAUAACGUCGCAAGACCAAAGAGGGGGACCUUCGGGCCUCUUGCCAUCAGAUGUGCCCAGAUGGGAUUAGCUAGUAGGUGGGGUAAUGGCUCACCUAGGCGACGAUCCCUAGCUGGUCUGAGAGGAUGACCAGCCACACUGGAACUGAGACACGGUCCAGACUCCUACGGGAGGCAGCAGUGGGGAAUAUUGCACAAUGGGCGCAAGCCUGAUGCAGCCAUGCCGCGUGUGUGAAGAAGGCCUUCGGGUUGUAAAGCACUUUCAGCGAGGAGGAAGGUGGUGAGCUUAAUACGCUCAUCAAUUGACGUUACUCGCAGAAGAAGCACCGGCUAACUCCGUGCCAGCAGCCGCGGUAAUACGGAGGGUGCAAGCGUUAAUCGGAAUUACUGGGCGUAAAGCGCACGCAGGCGGUUUGUUAAGUCAGAUGUGAAAUCCCCGGGCUCAACCUGGGAACUGCAUUUGAAACUGGCAAGCUAGAGUCUCGUAGAGGGGGGUAGAAUUCCAGGUGUAGC